GAUGAACGCUGGCGGCGUGCCUAACACAUGCAAGUCGAACGGAGCUGCUUUGAUGAAGUUUUCGGAUGGAUUUAAAACAGCUUAGUGGCGGACGGGUGAGUAACGCGUGGGUAACCUGCCUCACACUGGGGGAUAACAGUUAGAAAUAGCUGCUAAUACCGCAUAAGCGCACAGUUCCGCAUGGAACAGUGUGAAAAACUCCGGUGGUGUGAGAUGGACCCGCGUCUGAUUAGCUAGUUGGCGGGGUAACGGCCCAGCAAAGCGACGAGCAGUAGGCGGCCUGAGAGGGUGAACGGCCACAUUGGGACUGAGACACGGCCCAAACUCCUACGGGAGGCAGCAGUGGGGAAUAUUGCACAAUGGGGGAAACCCUGAUGCAGCGACGCCGCGUGAGUGAAGAAGUAUUUCGGUAUGUAAAGCUCUAUCAGCAGGGAAGAAAGUGACGGUACCUGAAUAAGAAGCCCCGGCUAACUACGUGCCAGCCGCCGCAGUAA
rnacentral:rRNA from 1 species